rnacentral:rRNA from 1 species
UACGUAGGGGCCUAGCGUUGUCCGGAUUUAUUGGGCGUAAAGAGCUCGUAGGCGGUUCGGUAAGUCAGGUGUGAAAUCUCCACGCUCGACGUGGAGGCGCCACCUGAAACUGCCGUGACUCGAGUCCGGUAGGGGAGUGUGGAAUUCCCGGUGUAGCGGUGAAAUGCGCAGAUAUCGGGAAGAACACCCGUGGCUAAGGCGGCUCUCUAGUACGGUACUGACGCUGAGACGCGAAAGCGUGGGGAGCGAACAGG